UACGGGGGGGGCGAGCGUUGUUCGGAAUUACUGGGCGUAAAGCGUGCGCAGGCGGUUCGCUAAGACAGAUGUGAAAUCCCCGGGCUUAACCUGGGAACUGCAUUUGUGACUGGCGGGCUAGAGUAUGGCAGAGGGGGGUAGAAUUCCACGUGUAGCAGUGAAAUGUGUUGAUAUCGGAAGGAACGCCGGUGGCGAAAGCGACACACUGGGUCUCAACUGACGCUGAGGUGCGAAAGCGUGGGGAGCAAACAGG
rnacentral:rRNA from 1 species